UACGUAGGGGGCAAGCGUUGUCCGGAAUUACUGGGCGUAAAGCGCGUGUAGGCGGGACGGUUAGUCGGACGUGAAAGGCGCGGGCUCAACCCGCGAAGGCCGUUCGAAACUGCCGUUCUUGAGGGAUGCAGAGGAGACUGGAAUUCCCGGUGUAGCGGUGAAAUGUGUAGAGAUCGGGAGGAACACCGGUGGCGAAGGCGGGUCUCUGGGCAUCUCCUGACGCUGAGGCGCGAAAGCUAGGGUAGCAAACGGG
rnacentral:rRNA from 1 species